rnacentral:ncRNA from 1 species
GCUACGGUGGAGGGGAACCACCCCGACGAGACGCGCCGUACCGGGUAGCUGGGCCAGUGGGCCCGGCUCGACGCAAAGACGACGCACC